rnacentral:lncRNA from 1 species
UACAGGACUCACAGUUCUCUGAAAAGGAUGAACCGUCUUACCAAACCAUUAAAAGCCAUACAGUCUCAAAGAAAAUUGACAGGAGAACACAAGAGUCUCCAGCAGAGGCAAGUGAAGAUCCUGUAAUUAGCCUAUGUAGACCCCCUCUAAGAAACCCCAGAUCUGAUUCAGCUUACAAAACCAACAGAAAUACUAAAAUGAGUGAAUUAUAAAUGGCCAGUUUCCUGCAGAAGGUCAGUUCUCCAAAGAAGGAGAAACCAAAGAUGAUGAUCAAGAUAGCUGUUACAGUGAUGUCACUACCAUUAAGGUCAGAUCCAGGGAUUCUUUUGAAUCUGGAGAUUAUCUGGUCAACAUUCAGAAUCACUUUGGAGAUUAUCACAAAGUCAAAACUUCACAGUUUAUGAAAAACAAUUUUCAGUUCUGAGCUCAGGAUAUAUAAAAAAAAAUCCUCAGGAAUGUAUUGAAUAAAAUGUAAGAAUGAGGACUAGGAUGCAAAAUGACAGUGUUCAGAA